rnacentral:rRNA from 1 species
AUUGAACGCUGGCGGCAGGCCUAACACAUGCAAGUCGAGCGGAGCGGCCGACGGGCGAGUAAUGCCUAUGAAGCUGCCUGGUAGAUGGGGGGAACGACCGGAUACGGGCGCUAAUUCCGCAUACUAUCAGACGAGCCUAGGUCGGAUUAGCUAGUUGGUGGGGUAAAUGCCUACCAAGGCGACGAUCCGUAACUGGUCUGAGAGGAUGAUCAGUCACACUGGAACUAAGACACGGUCCAGACUCCUACGUGAGGCAGCAGUGGGGAAUAUUGGACAAUGGGCGAAAGCCUGAUCCAGCCAUGCCGCGUGUGUGAAGAAGGUCUUCGGAUUGUAAAGCACUUUAAGUUGGGAGGCGUUACCAACAGAAUAAGCACCGGCUAACUCCGUGCCAGCAGCCGCGGUAAUUC